UUAUUUUGACAGGGUUUAUGCUUGGCCUCAGUAAGUUUUCUUGUGAAACAUUCCAAUUCAAAUUUGUAAACAUGUCACAUGGUGAUUUAAGUAGCCAUGUUGUUGGUUUAAAUUACUCUCUUUUCUGUUCAUGUUUAUUUAACUAGUUUUUGUUUAAGGGGUGAAAUAAAUGUGUUACUGUUUCUAAGGGUUAAAACAUGUGGUAGUGUGAAGUUGACUGUCCUGUUAGCGAGCUGCUCUCUGUAUGAGGGAUUAGGAUAAGGUUGUGUUUCUGUUACAGAUCGGAGGCCUCGGGUGUGGACGCAAGUACAGUAUAUGUGCCUGGCAAGAUAAAUAUGUAUAUACGUUAGGUGUUUACCCCAAAGAUCAAAAUUUGGCAUGGUCAGAGAGUGAGAAAACACUUGCCUGCUGGUCAGAGCAUUGGACAAAUCUCACCUCCCCCUCCCCUCACAGAGGGGAGUUAGGGUUGGGUGACCGGCUCGCAGCAUACAACUGACCACUUUUUGGUUCCCCCGUAAAGAUAGAAUUAAAGAUUUGAUGUAGAAAUAAUGUUUAAAAUUAACAAAAACCUUAAUGUAAAUUUAACCUACAUGUAAAAGUAAAGUGUUUUGAUUGAAAAUCGAUGAAUGGUGUAAACUUUAUAAAAAUAAUUUAAAAAUUC
rnacentral:sRNA from 1 species